rnacentral:rRNA from 1 species
CUUGGUGGUUCAAGAGGCAGGGGUACACCUGAUCCCAUCUCGAACUCAGAAGUUAAGCCUGCCAUCGCCGAUGUUACUGCAACUUGAUUGUGGGAAAGUAGGACGCCGCCAAGA